CCAGGCACUCUGAAGAAAAUAAUUCUGUCCCAGAUGAAACUAAUAACAAUAUGUUUUAUACACACUUGUAAAAUUCUCUGAGGCUAUGGCAGUGGAUAUUUUGAUUUUUUUUCUUGUUUUUCUAGAACAUUGAGUGGUUUUCCAUCGAUAAAUUACCAUGCCACAGAAAUGACAUGACCCCCAAGUCCAAGCUAGGUUUGGCACCUAACAAAUUUUUUAUGGCCAUUCCUUUUAUCAGGCCGUUGAGGGAAUGGAUUUCCCGAAGGAAUGGAGGAAAUUCCUCAGAUAGUGACAGAUUUUCACCUACAGGGAGCACACCCUCUAAGCCCAACUUGGAAAAACCUAGGUAAGAACCAGGUCAGUUUAACAUCUCCACACCCUUUUGUAAAAUAUUGGUCAUACAAAUCUGAUUGUCCUUUCUCUGAGGAAUGUAUUCCAGUAAUAGAGUGUGCUAAUUAAAAAUAAAUAAUAAUUAAGGGUUUAUCUCAGAGGCCUGUAAACAGGAUUGAAAGUUAAUAGUUUUGUUGUCAUUUCAAGUUAUUUAGUAAAUUCUGAAGUGUCCAGAAAUUAGGCAAUUCCUUGAGUCUUGUUUGUAGGAGCAACAAAAAAACAAAAGACAUGA